GUUAUUCACAAGUGGCUCCAGUCUGGUUUGGGGGUCUACGCUUUCUCAUCCUGUCCUGCCACCCAAGUGAAGUUAUUCACAAGUGGCUCCAGUCUGGUUUGGGGGUCUACGCUUUCUCAUCCUGUCCUGCCACCCAAGUGAAGUUAUUCACAAGUGGCUCCAGUUUGGUUUGGGGGUCUACGCUUUCUCAUCCUGUCCUGCCACCCAAGUGAAGUUAUUCACAAGUGGCUCCAGUCUGGUUUGGGGGUCUACGCUUUCUCAUCCUGUCCUGAGUGAUUCUUGACAUUGAAAUUAUAUCAAAAUUUGUCAAUAAAUGUUCAUACUUUUGUCAUUAA